AUCCUUGUAGCGCAGUGGAUAGUGCGUUGGACUUCUGAUCCAGUGGUUGUGGGUUCGAAUCCCACCUGGGGUG